UUAGCCUCUGUGGUCACUGUCACGGCCAUUACUUGUCUGAAGGAGUAAGAACAGACAAUCCGAACGGACAUGAUCCCGUGAUACCUUUACCAGGUGUGAACCCACAGCGGCAUCCCGGGCAGGGUGACAAAAAGCCAGAAUCGUCUUGUCCGACUGUUGAGAGUAAAGUAAAGCCAAGAAAGGCGCCGGAAUGUGUCACCGUUUCACCCGAAGACAAGGCCGUGGAUGCUUCCGCUCUGCGCUAUACAUGGAGCUGAAGGACCGAGGUGCCCGCCCCAGGCCCCGGGGCUGCUUCUCCGGCUGAUGACGAGAGCAGCUGGCAUCUGAAGAGAUGAGGACCCCAGAGAGACACCAGGAGUGCAAGUGCCCAGAGGAAAGACCGUGUGAGGACACAGCAAGAAGGCGACCACCUGCAAGCCAAGGAGAGAGGCCUCAGGAGAAACCAAACUUGCUGACACCUUGAUCUUGGACUUCUUCCCUCCAGGACUGUGAGGAAAUAAAUUCCCGUUGUUUCAGCCACCGAGCCUGUGGCAUUUCGUAUGACAGCCCAAGCUGACUAAUAGAAUGAAGAAGUCACUGCCUCAGGAGAGCUCUUUCCCACCCUCAGCCCUUGAGCACUAAUUGCUUGUCCUCCGUCACAAUCUGUGAAUAACCGUUUAUUUGGAUGACUGUAUGGCU